AUGGAUGAGUUUUUGGAUCACGGAGUUUCGAGUGUAAAUAAGAGAAUUAACAGCAGCGAAAGAGUCACUGCAAGGAAAAUAAAAAGGAAACAACGCAAACGUCAGUGCAAGAGCAAAGAGCUACCUCCCAAAAUGCUAUCUGUUUUCAAUCAACUGGAAAAAGAACUGGUUGCACUCUAUCUGAGAGAUUUCCCUCAAACCCAGAAGCGCGUGCAGAGAGUGUGUCUUAUCAUCGGGACAUUUGAAGAAGAUUUCAGACGUGCUACUGGAGUCAUUACACACGCAUUAAAUGCAGAAGUGGCUGGAGGGUUGAUGAUGGGUUUGGGGUUAGUUUUAGCUCCAGUUCAUCAGGGCAUUUCUGCUCUUAUCGCAGGAGCGGGAGCAGCUGUGGUUUCAGGCGCUGCACUCUGUGAUACAAUCUGGAACAAGAAGAUCGUGAGCCUGCAGGCAAAAAUAAUACAAGACACUGAAGCUGAACUGAGCGAAUUUCAGCAUAAAAUCAGCCCUAUGCUGGACAAGAUGAAUGAGAUCAGUCAGCACGUUUAUGAAAUAUUGAGAGACCUCAGUUACCCAGAGCGUGAUGUUGGGUAUUUAAGUCAAUAUUUUUCAUCUGCCAGUGAAUUAGUGCGUUUCAUACAGAUAUAUGACAUUAGUGUGUUGGCUGCGCAGAUAAAGUCUCAGACAUCAUGUUUGCUCGGAGCUCAAUUUAUCAGAGUUAUGCCAGCUAGAAUGGCACUCCAGCAGAUGUGGAUAGAAAUCGUUCAGUUAGAGAAUGUCAUGGAUGAAAUUACUAAAACAAUAGAAAGAAUAGCAAAUCAGCCCGACUAA
rnacentral:lncRNA from 1 species